rnacentral:tRNA from 1 species
UUAAAAUUAGUUAAAAUUAUAACAUAGGUUUGUCAGGCCUAAAUUAUCAAUAUUGAUAUUUUAAA